UAAGGAAUAUUGGACAAUGGUCGCAAGACUGAUCCAGCCAUGCCGCGUGAAGGAUGACGGCCCUAUGGGUUGUAAACUUCUUUUGAACGGGAGAAAACCCCUCUACGUGUAGAGGGCUGAUAGUACCGUUAGAAUAAGGAUCGGCUAACUCCGUGCCAGCAGCCGCGGUAAUACGGAGGAUCCAAGCGUUAUCCGGAUUCAUUGGGUUUAAAGGGUGCGUAGGCGGAAUGAUAAGUCAGUGGUGAAAUCUCCUUGCUUAACAAGGAAACUGCCAUUGAUACUGUCAAUCUUGAGUACAUUUGAUGUGGGCGGAAUGUGUCAUGUAGCGGUGAAAUGCUUAGAUAUGACACAGAACACCGAUUGCGAAGGCAGCUCACAAAACUGUAACUGACGCUGAGGC
rnacentral:rRNA from 1 species